UCUCCAAACGGUACGAACGCUCACUGGGACUGAUAGGAAAACUGCCCCACUGCUCACUGUUGUCUUCUGAGUACUGCAGGAUGUAACCUGAGGAGGAGAAGGGUGAGCUGCUAUCAGGAAUACAGUCAUUAAUUUUACUUAGGUAUCCAUGACAAGGUGAUUGAUGUGGUGGUAGUCUUGGUAACUGUGAGGCGUGGCUGGUCAGGAGGGACUGUGGAUAUGAAGACAAAGAAAAAGUUCACGGCACGGUUAAGUAUGAUCUCAUCUGACCCCCAGUUGUUGCUGGCCACACAGCUGUAGUUGCCGGAAUCCUCUGCUUUCACGGUACGAAUGAUGAAGCUGCCGUUGCCAUGGACACUACGACGACCAUCCACCAGGACAGGGAUCUGCUCACUGCGGACGCCAUCCCCGGCGUUGGUGAAGGCUAAGACCUGGAUGCUGUAGUUGGUGUACUUCUCCAACCCGUCCAGCUCCAGAGACGGCUGAUUGGUGGUCACAUUCCUGAUCUCUCCCAGUUCUGACACACAAGAGAAGAGUGGGUAUCAAAAAUGAUACACACUGUAGUGGUAUGGUGCAGCUUACUGUGAUGAUUACGAAAACUAAUACCAACAACAGUUAAUUCAGCAUUGCAAGGUUGUACCAUAAUAAUGGUUCCCUGUGA